rnacentral:rRNA from 1 species
UACGUAGGGUGCAAGCGUUAAUCGGAAUUACUGGGCGUAAAGCGUGCGCAGGCGGUUAUGUAAGACAGAUGUGAAAUGCCCGGGCUUAACCUGGGAACUGCAUUUGUGACUGCAUGGCUAGAGUUUGGCAGAGGGGGGGGUAGAAUUCCACGUGUAGCAGUGAAAUGCGUAGAUAUGUGGAGGAACACCGAUGGCGAAGGCAGCCUCCUGGGCCAGCACUGACGCUCAUGCACGAAAGCGUGGGGAGCAAACAGG